UUGAUUAGUUCUUAUGUACAUUUCCUGUGAUUAAUGCUACCCUUCAAUCAACUGGACAUUGAUCUUGUAACUCCACAAGUCAAAGCCAACCAUCUCAACAAAUGACUCUAGGCAGCAUACAUCAUGCAACAUUAAAAAAGUUAAAACAAUACAAAAUGAAUACAUAUGGCAUCAAGCAGAUCUGCAACCGUGAUUGUUAAUACAGGCAAGGAACGGAACCCUUACAGCCAAGGAACGGAACGGAAGCCAGGACUGGAUAGACAAUGAAGUCUUCACAACCUUAUGAACAGCCAGCAGAGUUGGGAUCAUCCUGAUCACUGAAGAGUGAAUGUUCCAAAGGGCAGAGAUUAUGGCAGAGAAGACCAAUCUCUUGGUCCCUGCCAGAUGACGCUCCUUGGUUCAUGGGAGUCAUAACAUGCUCAGCCUGCCAGAAGUUUCUUUAGGAAUCCAGCCCAAGCCAUAAAGGGGUUUAAAGAUGAUGACCAGCCCUUUGAAUUGGCCCUAGAAGCACACUGGCAGCCAAUGCAGCUCCUGAAGAAAUGGUGUCACUUGUUUUGAAUAUCUGGCACUCUUUACUACCUGUGCAGCCACAUUCUGCACCAGUUGAUACUUAUGAAUGUUCUUCAAAGGCAGCCCCAUGUAGAGAACAAUGCAGUAAUCCAGAUGACAGGUCACAAGGGUAUGAGUGGCUGUGAGCAAAGCCUCCCAACCCAGGAAUGGAUGCAUUGGAACAAAAUAUAUGCAAAAUCCCUCUUGCCAAUGGCUACCACCUGCUCUUCCAGCAGGAGCUUUGAGUUCAAGAGGACACCCCGCUUACACACCAGGUCAUUUUGAGUCACCCAGAACUAGCAAUGGAAAUCCCAAAGGUGCUUUUUCAGGAGGCUACUGGAGUUUCCAGACUUUUAGCAAUGGAAAAAUCUGGUUAUCAGAAGAUUCAAACAUCCAAAGCCAAGCUAUUUCACCUGAAUUGUAUCCAGGACAGGGACAGGACAUCAGGCAGCCUGGAGUGGAAAUAUAAAGUUGGCUAUUAUCAACAUAUUGAUACCUCACCUCAAACCAUCAGAUCAUCUCAUCCAGCAGUCUCAUGUAGAUGUUAAAGAGGAGUGGAGAGAGAACAGAGUCUUGCACAGACCCUACCCGAAAAGUAGCAUCUGUGCAUUGGAUCUCUCCUCAGCCACCAGUCCCAUCCUCCCCCAAUUUGACUACAGCAAAUUCAAAUUCUCAGUAUUCCUUUACUUUUAAGGAAGGUUUCUCCAAGUGCUUUUCCUUGUUUUCUCCAGCCCUCUAUAUAGAUUACAUUCCAAAGAAGAGCAUCCAGGACCUGCAGAAAAACCUGAAAUCAACAUGUGUUAGAUCACAGAACAAACAUUGCAUAAUUUCUCUUGCUCUGUUUCAAGCAAUCCAGCAUAGCUGAUUGUUUCCAUUUGUUCUAUCGGCUGGUCUAAAUUAAGAACUUGGGGACUGCUUUUUUAAAGGCAAAAUCUUCCAAGCUCUUCCUUUUUCGGUUUCUGGAAUCCCUCCCUCCACAAAACUUUUUAUUAUGCAACACUUUUUCUAAUUAAGUUUUAUUUUCUGUGCCCAGAAAUCUAGGUUCUGCUUCAUUAUUUUUAAAGCUGAUGUAUUUGAAGCUGUUCCUUUUAUUGCUUAUAUCAUCAAGCUUAAUUGCUCCCACUGCAAACCCCACCACCAACAUCUCAAAGAUAGAUUAUAAAUGAGUAAAUAAUACUAGGACAAAAAUAGUUCAGAGGGAGAUGAGGGCCUUCUUUUUCUUCUAUGUUUUGUAAGCUCCCUCCUCCCUACAUUCUUUUUCUACACAAACUCACAUCUCUGUAUUCAGCCACCAUUUCUGUCCAAGUGAAAGUGUUAAACCCUGGUUAUAAAUAAAAUACACAAGGGAAUGCUUAGGGAAUGCUGGUCCCAAGUAUUGCCAUAGCAAUAUUAAUCUCCAUGAGUUCCUAGUUAUGUAUUCCCUAUUUUGGUAUUAAAGGGAAGGGGAAGAAUGCAGAAAGCAAUCUUUAAAAGAGGGAUUUUUUGAUAUAGGCCAGGGGUAUCCAAACUUGGCAAUUUUAAGACUUGUGGACUUUGACUUCCAGAAUUCCCACCAUGGCUGACUGAGGAAUUCUGGGAAUUGAAGUCCACAUGUCUUAAAAGUUGCUAAGUUGGACACCCAUGAUUUAGGUCAGCGGUCAAACUUCGAAUUUUAAGCAUAUUAAACAAACUGGAUUUUACAGGAGAGUAAAUGACAUCUGUAACAUAUCACAAUGGCAUCAAAAUGAUGACAUACACACAAGAUCAACAAGAAAAUGCCAUGACUACAUACUGUACUUGCUGUAGGAAAUGACCAGGCUGAGCCUGAGGGAAGGGUCAAAUGUUAUCAAUCAUGAGUCCCUUCAUGCCCACCAGAGGUCUAAGUCCAGCCCACUUUGAAUCCCUUUAACUUUUUAUCUACUGCUAUAUUUGCUUGGAACAUUAGUAGUUCAGAAUCUUGUAUAGAGAUUAAACUUGCAAUAUAUCUUUUUAUACCCAUUUGAACUGCCUGAAUCUCCUGUGGUGCAUGACACUUAUAUCCCAAUGUCUGACAGAAGUAUUUAAAUUGGGGUGCACUGUCAUUUGUCUCCCUGACCAGAGAUAUGAGGAACAGGGUGAAGAAAGUUCUCUAUUAACAGCUGGCUAUCAUGAAAGAUAUAAUCACUUUUAGGCUGUUUUUUGGAAAGCGAAUUUGUGAUACCUCUGCUACUCCCACCAAUCACAAGUAGUUUCCAAAUUAGUUUUGACCCUCAUCUAAAUAAAAGCUCAGAUACAACCAUCAAUGUUUUUUUCUUCUAAUAUCGCUAGGAUCAUUAAAGUGAUGCAAAGGUUGGCACAUGCCAGCUUCUUAUUUCCUUUCAAUUAUUCAUUUAGUUCUUCAAGUUUAUUAGUCACCCAACUGCAAAAGAACAACAAGACGAGGAAGAGAGCAUAGCAGAUGCUACAGGAGGGAUCUGUAGACAGCCCACUGGUGAGCUCAGAUUUAAACUUCCUCUUAUUCACAGAACAGACUUGUUGAGCAGUGAACAGAUAUCACUAUUCAUAUAGCACAGGGGUUCCCAAACUAUGGGGAAGUAUAUGAAGAAAUUUUGAGGAAGCGGCAUAAUGAACUUCUUAGGGUUAAAAAAAAGAAUAAUUUUCAAAUGAAGCUCAAAUGGAAUGAAAUAAAUUUGGCAGAGUUAGUGGGCUAAUUCCACUAAGGAGUGAAGAUGCACUGGGAAGAUCAGGGAGUUUGUAGUGAGAAGUUUGGGGCUGAUAGAGUUGAUCAGGAAGACUGAAGCUGGAAGCCUCAUGCACUUCUUAAUUCUUGCACAGACUGGCAGAGAACUUGACUGAAA